rnacentral:rRNA from 1 species
GGGUUGUGAGGUUAAGCGACUAAGCGUACACGGUGGAUGCCCUGGCAGUCAGAGGCGAUGAAGGACGUGCUAAUCUGCGAUAAGCGCCGGUAAGGUGAUAUGAACCGUUAUAACCGGCGAUUUCCGAAUGGGGAAACCCAGUGUGACUCGUCACACUAUCAUUAACUGAAUCCAUAGGUUAAUGAGGCGAACCGGGGGAACUGAAACAUCUAAGUACCCCGAGGAAAAGAAAUCAACCGAGAUUCCCCCAGUAGCGGCGAGCGAACGGGGAGGAGCCCAGAGCCUGAAUCAGCAUGUGUGUUAGUGGAAGCGUCUGGAAAGGCGCGCGAUACAGGGUGACAGCCCCGUACACAAAAGCGCAUAUGCUGUGAGCUCGAUGAGUAGGGCGGGACACGUGGUAUCCUGUCUGAAUAUGGGGGGACCAUCCUCCAAGGCUAAAUACUCCUGACUGACCGAUAGUGAACCAGUACCGUGAGGGAAAGGCGAAAAGAACCCCGGCGAGGGGAGUGAAAAAGAACCUGAAACCGUGUACGUACAAGCAGUGGGAGCACCCUUUGGGGUGUGACUGCGUACCUUUUGUAUAAUGGGUCAGCGACUUAUAUUCUGUAGCAAGGUUAACCGAAUAGGGGAGCCGGAGGGAAACCGAGUCUUAAUUGGGCGUUAAGUUGCAGGGUAUAGACCCGAAACCCGGUGAUCUAGCCAUGGGCAGGUUGAAGGUUGGGUAACACUAACUGGAGGACCGAACCGACUAAUGUUGAAAAAUUAGCGGAUGACCUGUGGCUGGGGGUGAAAGGCCAAUCAAACCGGGAGAUAGCUGGUUCUCCCCGAAAGCUAUUUAGGUAGCGCCUCGUGAA